rnacentral:rRNA from 1 species
UACGGAGGGGACUAGCGUUGUUCGGAAUUACUGGGCGUAAAGCGCACGUAGGCGGAUUUGUAAGUCAGGGGUGAAAUCCCGGGGCUCAACCCCGGAACUGCCUUUGAUACUGGAGAGCUUGAGUCCGGGAGAGGUGAGUGGAACUCCGAGUGUAGAGGUGAAAUUCGUAGAUAUUCGGAAGAACACCAGUGGCGAAGGCGGCUCACUGGCCCGGUACUGACGCUGAUGUGCGAAAGCGUGGGGAGCAAACAGG